ACACGACUACAUUAGAUACCCGCGUAGUCCCAGCCCUAAACGAUGCGCGUUAGGUGUAUCGGUGACCACGAGUCACCGAGGUGCCGAAGGGAAACCGUGAAACGUGCCGCCUGGGAAGUACGGUCGCAAGGCUGAAACUUAAAGGAAUUGGCGGGGAGCACCACAACGGGUGGAGCCUGCGGUUUAAUUGGACUCAACGCCGGGAAGCUUACCGGAUAAGACAGCAGAAUGAUUGCCGGGCUGAAGACUCUGCAUGACCAGCUG
rnacentral:rRNA from 1 species